AUGUUUACUUCAAUAGCACGUAUACUAAAAUUAAAGACUAUACAGAUAAUUCGCAUGGCCCCUUCGCAGGGAUAAUGUGCAAACUUAUGAAGCAUUCUGUAUUUUA
ensembl:snRNA U6 U6 spliceosomal RNA